rnacentral:lncRNA from 1 species
CUUUAAUGUUGCAUCCAUAAUUUAUUACUCAUAGAGGCUAAUAUAAUACAUUUGAUAGUCAAACUGUCAUUCUUCCAUAUCCUGUAUGUGGAUAUCUCUUCCUCAGUGACAUCAUUCCCAAUCUCUUGUGGUUCAGAGACAUCAAGAAUAUAGAAAACCUUUUCUUGAGUGAGUACUAUUUUCAAAUUCCUCAACCAAUUCAUGUAAUUG